UCCCAGUGAAGAAACAGUCACAUGUCUUACCUCCUGUCCUAGUCCCAGAGCCUGUAAAGAAGAAUAGGUAUUAAUUCUUCUUUAAAUGUUUGGUAGAAUUCCCCUGGGAA